AAUCAACGCUGGCGGCGUGCCUCAGACAUGCAAGUCGAACGCGAAAGUUCCCUUCGGGGGAUGAGUAGAGUGGCGCACGGGUGAGUAACACGUAGGUAAUCUACCUUUGGAUGGGGAAUAACAACCGGAAACGGUUGCUAAUACCGCAUAAUGCAGCGGCACCUAAUGGUGACAGUUGUUAAAGCGGGGGAUCGAAAGACCUCGCGUCUGAAGAGGAGCCUGCGGCGGAUAGCUAGUUGGUAAGGUAACGGCUUACCAAGGCGACGAUCCGUAGCCGGCCUGAGAGGGCGGUCGGCCACACUGACACUGACAUACGGGUCAGACUCCUACGGGAGGCAGCAGUCGGGAAUUUUGGGCAAUGGGCGAAAGCCUGACCCACGCAACGCCGCGUGAAGGAUGAAAUCCCUCGGGAUGUAAACUUCGCAAGAACGGGAAGAAUAAGUA
rnacentral:rRNA from 1 species